rnacentral:hammerhead_ribozyme from 1 species
AUCCGGCUGACGAGUCUCGAAUAAGACGAAACGCGCCUUGUCCUGGAU